AGAUUUUGAUGAUCACAUCUGAGCACAUUUUGAGACGUUGGUGAGAUCUCCUAAACUCCAGAAGAGAUACAAGUGCAAGCGGCUGCCAUGUGUUUACAAUGAAGGAACAAUCAUGCUUUUAUAUUGGCUAGCUGUCCCAUAAUUCAUCGCUGCAUGCCUGGCUGUUCCUAACACGGAGACGUAGGUGAUUACGGAAGAUUAAUGGAUGCUUUCAGAACGGAGCGUCUGGACAACGGCCCGAGCUGUCAGAGGAGAUGGCAACUUUUGCUGGAAGGUCCACCCAUUCUUCCCCACCUGAAACCCCUCCUCGCUACUGUAUGUAUGCUGAUCUGAAUCCUCUAUCGUUUCCAGCUCAAGAUUACACACCUGUCUGGCACGUACAAGCAGCCAGGAUGAGAC